rnacentral:rRNA from 1 species
UUAAACUAGGGAUUAGAUACCCUAUUAUUAAAAUUUAAAUUAAUAAUACUAAAAUAGUAGAUAAUUAUUUAUUGAAACUUAAAUAAUUUGGCGGUAUUUUAGUUCAUUUAGAGGAAUCUGUUUAAUAAUUGAUAAUCCACGAAUAAAUUUACUUAAUUUUUUAUUUUGUAUAUCGUUGUUAAAAAAAUAUUUUUCAAUAAUAAUAAUAUUUAAAAAUUUUAAUUAAAAAUUAAAUCAGAUCAAGAUGCAGAUUAUAAUUAAGAAUAUAAUGGAUUACAAUAAAUUUAUUUAAAUGAAUAUUAAAUUGUAAAAUUUAAUUGAAGGUGGAUUUAAAUGUAA